GAUUAACGCUGGCGGCGUGCAUAACACAUGCAAGUCGAACGAAGUGGCGGACGGGUGAGUAACGCGUGAGUAAACUGACUUAGAGAAGGGGAUAGCCUUUGGAAACGAAGAAUAAUAACCUAUGCUCUAAGAUGGACUUGCGUCUGAUUAGUUAGUUGGUGAGGUAACGGUUCACCAAGACAGCGAUCAGUAGCCGGCUUGAGGUAGUGUACGGCAACAUUGGGACUGAGACACGGCCCAGACUCUACGGGAGGCAGCAGUGGGUAAUUUUGCACAAUGGGGGAAACCCUGAUGCAGCGACGCCGCGUGAUUUAGAAGGCCUUCGGGUUGUAAAAAUCUUUUCUAUGGGAAGCAGUACCAUAGGAAUAAGGACCGGCUAAUUACGUGCCAGCAGCCGCGGUAAUUC
rnacentral:rRNA from 1 species